rnacentral:rRNA from 1 species
UACGGAGGGGGCUAGCGUUGUUCGGAAUUACUGGGCGUAAAGCGCACGUAGGCGGCUUUGUAAGUUAGAGGUGAAAGCCCGGGGCUCAACCCCGGAACUGCCUUUAAGACUGCAUCGCUUGAAUCCAGGAGAGGUGAGUGGAAUUCCGAGUGUAGAGGUGAAAUUCGUAGAUAUUCGCAGGAACACCAGUGGCGAAGGCGGCUCACUGGCUCGAUACUGACGCUGAGGUGCGAAAGCGUGGGGAGCAAACAGG